rnacentral:lncRNA from 1 species
GUGUGUGUGUGUGUGUGUGUGUGUGUGUCCUUCUGAACCAGACCAGCGUCGUAUGGUGGAGAUCAUCGGCUACCUGACGAAGAUGAGGUUUGGAGAACAGGAGUCGAGCAAAUCAAAGGACACAAAAGAGACAGGGGGUAUCUACUCCAGACUGGAAGCGCAAUUUAAGAGUGGCGCUCAAGCCAGACAGAGUUCAGAGAAGACACCUAGAUCUAAAAUACGCUACGCUCAGAUCCGGACAACUUAAAGAACCCGAUGGGGAAAAGGCUGCCGAGCUGUCUAAGAGACGGGCAUGAAAACUGACAGAGAG